GGGGCUGUAGCUUAGCUGGGAGAGCGCCUCCCUUGCACGGAGGAGGUCGCCGGUUCGAAUCCGGCCAGCUCCACCA
rnacentral:tRNA from 1 species